rnacentral:rRNA from 1 species
GACGAACGCUGGCGGCGUGCUUAACACAUGCAAGUCGAACGGGCUGCCUGGUUUUCGGAUCGGGUGGUGAGUGGCGAACGGGUGAGUAACACGUGAGUAACCUGCCCCUCUCUUUGGGAUAACGUCGGGAAAUCGGCGCUAAUACCGGGUAUUCUGGCUUCCUCGCCUGGGGUUGUUGGGAAAGGUUUUUUCUGGUGGGGGAUGGGCUCGCGGCCUAUCAGCUUGUUGGUGGGGUGAUGGCCUACCAAGGCGGUGACGGGUAGCCGGCCUGAGAGGGUGUCCGGCCACACUGGGACUGAGACACGGCCCAGACUCCUACGGGAGGCAGCAGUGGGGAAUAUUGCACAAUGGGCGGAAGCCUGAUGCAGCGACGCCGCGUGGGGGAUGACGGCCUUCGGGUUGUAAACCUCUUUCAGUGCAGAACAAGGCUCUUUGUGGGUUGAGGGUAUGCGCAGAAGAAGCGCCGGCUAACUACGUG